rnacentral:rRNA from 2 species
GCAGUCGAACGCGUUGGCCCAAUUGAUUGAUGGUGCUUGCACCUGAUUGAUUUUGGUCGCCAACGAGUGGCGGACGGGUGAGUAACACGUAGGUAACCUGCCCAGAAGCGGGGGACAACAUUUGGAAACAGAUGCUAAUACCGCAUAACAGCGUUGUUCGCAUGAACAACGCUUAAAAGAUGGCUUCUCGCUAUCACUUCUGGAUGGACCUGCGGUGCAUUAGCUUGUUGGUGGGGUAACGGCCUACCAAGGCGAUGAUGCAUAGCCGAGUUGAGAGACUGAUCGGCCACAAUGGGACUGAGACACGGCCCAUACUCCUACGGGAGGCAGCAGUAGGGAAUCUUCCACAAUGGGCGCAAGCCUGAUGGAGCAACACCGCGUGAGUGAAGAAGGGUUUCGGCUCGUAAAGCUCUGUUGUUAAAGAAGAACACGUAUGAGAGUAACUGUUCAUACGUUGACGGUAUUUAACCAGAAAGUCACGGCUAACUACGUGCCAGCAGCCGCGGUAAUACGUAGGUGGCAAGCGUUAUCCGGAUUUAUUGGGCGUAAAGAGAGUGCAGGCGGUUUUCUAAGUCUGAUGUGAAAGCCUUCGGCUUAACCGGAGAAGUGCAUCGGAAACUGGAUAACUUGAGUGCAGAAGAGGGUAGUGGAACUCCAUGUGUAGCGGUGGAAUGCGUAGAUAUAUGGAAGAACACCAGUGGCGAAGGCGGCUACCUGGUCUGCAACUGACGCUGAGACUCGAAAGCAUGGGUAGCGAACAGGAUUAGAUACCCUGGUAGUCCAUGCCGUAAACGAUGAGUGCUAGGUGUUGGAGGGUUUCCGCCCUUCAGUGCCGGAGCUAACGCAUUAAGCACUCCGCCUGGGGAGUACGACCGCAAGGUUGAAACUCAAAGGAAUUGACGGGGGCCCGCACAAGCGGUGGAGCAUGUGGUUUAAUUCGAAGCUACGCGAAGAACCUUACCAGGUCUUGACAUCUUGCGCCAACCCUAGAGAUAGGGCGUUUCCUUCGGGAACGCAAUGACAGGUGGUGCAUGGUCGUCGUCAGCUCGUGUCGUGAGAUGUUGGGUUAAGUCCCGCAACGAGCGCAACCCUUGUUACUAGUUGCCAGCAUUAAGUUGGGCACUCUAGUGAGACUGCCGGUGACAAACCGGAGGAAGGUGGGGACGACGUCAGAUCAUCAUGCCCCUUAUGACCUGGGCUACACACGUGCUACAAUGGACGGUACAACGAGUCGCGAACUCGCGAGGGCAAGCAAAUCUCUUAAAACCGUUCUCAGUUCGGACUGCAGGCUGCAACUCGCCUGCACGAAGUCGGAAUCGCUAGUAAUCGCGGAUCAGCAUGCCGCGGUGAAUACGUUCCCGGGCCUUGUACACACCGCCCGUCACACCAUGAGAGUUUGUAACACCCAAAGUCGGUGGGGU